ensembl:lncRNA
GGGGUACCGUGGAGCAAGCCUGGGAGGGCGUUCGCGCUGUAGCUGGAGCCGGGUCGGCCCUCAGGAGAGCAGUGUGCUCCGCCCCAGUUUCAGGCUGGAGCCUUUCGCUUUUUUUUUUUUUAAAUUGGUCAGGCUAGGUUUUCGGAUUUACGGUUUCCUCUGCACCCUAAUCCUUGCGGGGCGGAGGGGCGGAGUCAGUGGCCCCUUUGGCUUGAACUUCAGCCUGCACACCCCCACGCCUCCUCUUUCUCCACGCAGUGCAGCACCCGAGUGGGGAGAGUUGGGGGGAACUGAGUUCUGUUUUGGGUGCCCUUUGCUUCUCGGACUUGCCAACAGCCUAGAAAGCCUGAAGCCUCUAGGAGGAGUGAAAGAAAGAGUGCUAGGGGCAGAACGGGACUUUGUGAACUUUCACACGAGGUUUCUAACCCCCCGCCCCCAGAGGUAUUAUUAACUCUCCUGUUUGGGUCCAGGGAGGUGAACCUCCUACAGGACUGUCUGUGGGCCCAGGGCUUGGAAUGGACCCUCUUAGAACUUCGCUUCCGCUCCUUGAGGCUGCCUCUGUGGCCGCCCGAGGCCCCAGAGCUGUGAGACUUGGCAAAGUAAUUAAGACUGAGAACCCAACCGAGCGGAGCUGAGUAAAAGGUGGGCGGGCCCAUCCCACAGGCCAAAUGUUUUGGAAAGGCAAAAGCAGGAGAGUUGGAGAAACUAGAAAAAGUUUGCCAACUACGGACUAAGAGAUGGUAAAAGCACAUGAUGGAAGGAUCCUAAGCCCCUGGUUAACAUGUGGAACAGAACUCUUCAUUCCCCUGCCUCACCAACCUGCAUUGAACUGUGAUGGAAUCAAUGAGAAAAACAAGAGAUGGGGCCUAAAAUCUAAAGGAUAUGUUUGCACCCAACAAAGCCUAAAUGUCACUGCAACACACUAUAUGGAUGAAAGUUUCACAGUAAGUUAAAUGAAAAGAAAGAAUGAAAGAAUUGAGUUAUCACACCAUACACCAAACACCAAAAAAGAUCUUCAUGUCCCAGAUAAUCACAAUGGUGUGAUCACUGACCUAGAGCCAGACAUCCUGGAAUGUGAAGUCAAGUGGGCCUUAGAAAGCAUCACUAUGGACAAAGCUAGUGGAGGUGAUGGAAUUCCAGUUGACCUAUUUCAAAUCCUGAAAGAUGAUGCUGUGAAAGUGCUGCACUCAAUAUGCUAGCAAAUUUGGAAAACUCAGCAGUGGCCACAGGACUGGAAAAGGCCAGUUUUCAUUCCGAUCCCAAAGAAAGGCAAUGCCAAAGAAUGGUCAAAUUACCACACAAUUGCACUCAUCUCACACGCUAGUAAAGUAAUGCUCAAAAUUCUCCAAGCCAGGCUUCAGCAAUAUGUGAACUGUGAACUUCCUG